AGACUAGAUCUAUAUUCAUCCUGCCUCCUCUCCUACCCGUGUGCCCUAAUGUCGUACCCCCCGCCUCAAUCGCCCAAGGCGGACUUUCUUGAGACACUUGGGAAGCAUGUAAGAAUGAGGAACACGAGUGCCCUGUUAAAUCUGGUGAAAUGUGGACAACAGUACAAGGGCUUCACAAUUCUUAUGCUCGUAGCAAUGCAUACUGAUGGGACGGAGACACUAAAACAGAUUCUCAGAAGCUUCCCAAAAGAAUUGAACA
rnacentral:ribozyme from 1 species